rnacentral:lncRNA from 1 species
CUUCGAUGUUAUCAGACAGAAAAUACCUUGGUGUUCGCCAAAAGGCCGAGAAGUGAUCAGACAGGAAAUAGUAUGGCUGCUACGUCAAGGUCCCGUUUGUGCAAAUUAAAAUUCUCUGUAGUGUACUUGCCUGGACCCUGCAUAACCCUGCACACACUGAGCAGAAUAUGGAUGCAAAUUAUGAAUAUAUUUAUGAAGAAUAUGGUAAAUAUUAAAGUAUGAGGUAAGUUGUCACUUCCCAAAGCAAAGAUCUUAAAUUAC